UACGUAGGGAGCAAGCGUUAUCCGGAUUUAUUGGGUGUAAAGGGUGCGUAGAUGGAUAAACAAGUUGUUUGUGAAAUACCUCGGCUCAACUGAGGAACUGCAAGCAAAACUGUAUAUCUUGAGUACUGGAGGGGAAAGCGGAAUUCCUAGUGUAGCGGUGAAAUGCGUAGAUAUAUGGAAGAACACCAGUGGCGAAGGCGGCCGCCUGGCCUGUUGCUGACGCUGAGGCACGAAAGCGUGGGGAGCAAAUAGG
rnacentral:rRNA from 1 species